GUGCUCGCUUCAGCAGCACAUCUACUAAAACUGGAAUGAUCCAAAGAUUAGCACCGCCCCUGCACAAAGAUGAUACACAAAUUCGUGAAGCAGUCCAUAUUUUU
ensembl:snRNA U6 U6 spliceosomal RNA